AUGAUAACAGAGACCCGGGUGCUGCAGUUGCAAGGCAAGGAAAGAAUCCCAGGGAGAGACACAGCUGUACAGCUGGACCCCAACUGCUCCUGUACCUCAGAUGGAUCCUGCUCUUAUGCCGGUUCCUGCAAAUACAAACAAUGCCAAUGCACCUCCUGCAAGAAAAGCUGCUGCUCCUGCUGCCUCGUGGGCUAUGCGAAGUGCUCCCAGGGCUGCAUCUGCAAAGAGGUUUUGGACAAGUGCAGCUGCUGCGCCUGAAGUGGGGGCGUCCCCACAACUCUG